rnacentral:tRNA from 2 species
UCGGGAUGUAGCUCAGUUUGGUAGAGCACCACGUUCGGGACGUGGGGGUCACAGGUUCAAAUCCUGCCAUCCCGAUC